rnacentral:rRNA from 1 species
AUUGAACGCUGGCGGCAGGCUUAACACAUGCAAGUCGAGCGAGCGGCGGACGGGUGAGUAAUGUCUGGGAAACUGACUGAUGGAGGGGGAUAACAACUGGAAACGGUAGCUACUACCGAAUACCAUCAGAUGUGCCAAGAUGGGAUUAGCCAGUAGGUGGGGUAAUGGCUCACCUAGGCGCAGAUCCCUAGAUGGUCGGCGAGGAUGACCAGCCACACUGGAACUGAGACACGGUCCAGACGCCUACGGGAGGCAGCAGUGGGGAAGAGUGCACAAUGGGCGCAAGCCUGAUGCAGCCAUGCCGCGUGUGUGAAGAAGGCCUUCGGGUUGUAAAGCACUUUCAGCGAGGAGGCGUUACUCGCAGAAGAAGCACCGGCUAACUCCGUGCCAGCAGCCGCGGUAAUAC